rnacentral:rRNA from 1 species
UACGUAGGUGGCAAGCGUUGUCCGGAAUUAUUGGGCGUAAAGCGCGCGCAGGCGGUCCUUUAAGUCUGAUGUGAAAGCCCACGGCUCAACCGUGGAGGGUCAUUGGAAACUGGGGGACUUGAGUGCAGAAGAGGAAAGCGGAAUUCCACGUGUAGCGGUGAAAUGCGUAGAGAUGUGGAGGAACACCAGUGGCGAAGGCGGCUUACUGGUCCAUUACUGACGCUGAGGUGCGAAAGCGUGGGGAGCAAACAGG